rnacentral:rRNA from 1 species
CCUACGGGAGGCAGCAGUGGGGAAUAUUGCACAAUGGGCGGAAGCCUGAUGCAGCGACGCCGCGUGAGGGAUGAAGGCCUUCGGGUUGUAAACCUCUUUCAGCAGGGACGAAGCGUGAGUGACGGUACCUGCAGAAGAAGCACCGGCUAACUACGUGCCAGCAGCCGCGGUAAUACGUAGGGUGCGAGCGUUGUCCGGAAUUACUGGGCGUAAAGAGUUCGUAGGCGGUUUGUCGCGUCGUUUGUGAAAACCCGGGGCUCAACUUCGGGCUUGCAGGCGAUACGGGCAGACUUGAGUGUUUCAGGGGAGACUGGAAUUCCUGGUGUAGCGGUGAAAUGCGCAGAUAUCAGGAGGAACACCGGUGGCGAAGGCGGGUCUCUGGGAAACAACUGACGCUGAGGAACGAAAGCGUGGGUAGCAAACAGGAUUAGAUACCCUGGUAGUCCACGCCGUAAACGGUGGCGCUAGGUGUGGGUUCCUUCCACGAUCUGUGCGUAGCUACGCAUAGCGCCCGCCGUCGGGAGGUACGGCCGCGAGACGUAAACGUACGAAGAAGUAGACGGCGUGUAGACGUUGCGACGGACGACGACGAGGGAGGAGG